rnacentral:lncRNA from 1 species
CUCAAACAGUGCAAUGUGAAUCAGACUAAACUACAUUUAAUCAGAUUUCUGAUGAAUUAUGAAUGGACCUACGAAGAGAUUGGGCCAUUAGCAACAGAUGAGACAUAACUGCCCCAGAUGCUUCACCUAGGGUUAACUCUAGUGACUGUAUUACAAUUUCCUAAAAGCUGGAAGACUUAACAACCUAAACUUAUUGAUACCUUAGGAGAAGAGGAGACUCCAGGACAGAAAACCUCACUGCUAAGGCAGAAAUUACAGACUUGUACAAAAGACAUCUAAAAUACAAGUUUUUCACCUUCAGCAGAUAAAACAUAAUCAUAAUCUGAAAAACUAGAUUCCAAAUAAAUUACUCAAAGUGUAUUUUAUGCAAAACCAAAACAGGUACAGCACAGCAUUUUGUAGUUUUCCCUGAGAUUAUCAAAAAUUCACCAAAGUGUAAGUCUUUAAAGAUCUUACUUCUGCUUUCUGUUUCAGUUUUGCAUACAAAACAAUCCAUCCAGCUAGUUUUGUUAUUUAACUGCCUGCAUUCCAAAUGAAAAAAAAAAUAAGAAGAGCAGGUAGAUGCUUAAUUUAGAGGUUAACUCUCUGAGGAAAUAGAGGACAGCAUUGAAUUAGACAUUAUUUCCAUAUAAAAUCAUGAAAAAUGGCAUUCAUUCUUGGCCAAGGAUUUGAAGACAAGACAGGAAAGAAGCACAGGGAUCCUGCUAAGCAUUAUUAAAAGAUUAGUCAAAUACUUCUGUCAAUGAAAUCAUAUGAUUUUCACUAUCAACGUGUUGGCAGCAUUGUGGAUUUUCAAAGUCAUAGGUAAAAUGAUUGACUGACAUAGAAAAUUCUGACCUACCAAUGUUGCGAACAAAGACUGCCAUGUGGAAAAAGUGAUCUCACUGUCCCACUGUCAGAGCAUUAUUUCAUCAACGUAUAGUGCAAGCAGUUCAGAUGUUAAGCUGUUUUUCUGUCAUUUCUCUCAGGGCUCUCAAAGGACUAUUAGUUUUUUAUAGCAAGUAGCUGCUGGCAGCAUUGCCAUUGCAUCCAGUUUCUCAAUCAACUUUGCUGGAGGGAAGACAGCCCUACACAAGACUUAAGUACACAAAGAUUCCAGACUCCAGGACACUAUCCUGUUCUCCUGCAGUUUACAAUGAAGAAUCCUAUCAAACCAUGUGAAGCCAAGGGAAAUAUUUUUAGUAGACAGUGGCUCUAA